rnacentral:rRNA from 1 species
GACGAACGCUGGCGGCGUGCCUAAUACAUGCAAGUAGAACGCUGAAGAGAGGAGCUUGCUCUUCUUGGAUGAGUUGCGAACGGGUGAGUAACGCGUAGGUAACCUGCCUUGUAGCGGGGGAUAACUAUUGGAAACGAUAGCUAAUACCGCAUAACAAUGGAUGACACAUGUCAUUUAUUUGAAAGGGGCAAUUGCUCCACUACAAGAUGGACCUGCGUUGUAUUAGCUAGUAGGUGAGGUAAUGGCUCACCUAGGCGACGAUACAUAGCCGACCUGAGAGGGUGAUCGGCCACCCUGGGACUGAGACACGGCCCAGACUCCUCCGGGAGGCAGCAGUAGGGAAUCUUCGGCAAUGGGGGCAACCCUGCCCGAGCAACGCCGCGUGAGUGAGAAGGUUUUCGGAUCGUAAAGCUCUGUUGUAAGUCAAGAACGGGUGUGAGAGUGGAAAGUUCACACUGUGACGGUAGCUUACCAGAAAGGGACGGCUAACUACGUG